GUUAAUCACGUAACCGCUCCUCUCGCUGCUCGCCCUCUGCCUCUUUCUCCGCUGCUUUCCCAUGCGACGGUUCCCACCUCCUCCUGGUCGAUCUUGGUCGUCGCCGCCCGCCCGUGGUGAUGCACCCACAGUAGAUCCGUUCUCUCCUCUCGCACGAUGCGUCGCCUCUGCUCCUCCCGUCCCUCGCUGCCAUCUCCCGGCCUUUGGCUUCCUCUGCCCCAAGAUCUGUGCGCGUCGCGGUGGAAGAUCCGAGAAGGGAGGCGAGUCUCUCCCACGGCGUCGCUGUUGCACGGCUCGUUUGCGUUCCUCUCAAAGGACCAGGUGGAGAAGCUGACGGGAGAGAACCGGGACGAGGCCUAUGCCGCCGCCAAGAUAAUGAAGCUCUGCGCCGCUGUGGGCGACGGCAGCAGCACCAAGGUGAUGCCCGAGAGGCCACCCCGGAUCCUGCGCAGCCCAUGGUCACGGCCAAGCUGGAGUGGCGCUCCGGGUUCAUGGCCCCCAAGCUGGUGUUGGGCGCGGCGGCGAAGACGCCACAGAGUUGCCCUACGCUGCCCCGCGCCAUGGAGGAGGUGAUGUAUGAGGAACCAGUUAAAGCAUUUGAUGGCAAAAGACAGAACUUGAAAACUUCAUCAGGGAAAAUUCUGAAAGUAUGGGUCACUUAUCAUUCUAUAGCAUAAGUUUUGAUGAUUGGUUGAUGUCUGUAUCCGUGUAUGAUUGUAUUGUCAUAUUUUAUUUCCUACUUCGUUGAGUUUUCUGUUUUGUGCUAUAGUAACACGCAAUCUCUCUCUCCCCCCUCCCUCCCUCCCUCGCUCGCGCUCGCGCUCUCGCUCUCGCUAACAUUGUGAUAUGUUAUUUUGUACCGGUUUAAGUUCCAUAGUUCUAAUCGUGUCGGUAUCAUAUUUAUUAUUUUCUUAAGAUCUCUAUAGAAUUUUUUGUCUGGAUAAUUAAAAGUAUUUGUUCAGACUACUUUGACUUCUGAUCAAAGAUAGAUUGCAUUUUGUUUCAGAAUAGGAUGUACUUUUCUUACUAGAUAGACAACAUAUAGGAUAAUAAAUGUAUACAUAACAUCUUAAUUAUGUGUAGGUUCACGCUGAAGGCUUUGGACAAGUUUGAGGAUACGUUUGGUCCCUUUGAUUGUGGCUUUAUAUUUUCUAAUAGAAAGUCUAGCAGGGUCUGCAUAGGUAAGAGCUGGAUGACGGCACUGAGAAGAGACAGUUUUCUCCCUCUGACAGUUGCUUCUGUUUCUAGAUUGGAUUACACCAAAAGAUGCCAGUGAUGUACAUUCUCGUGGUACUUGCUCGACAGCGCAUUAUUAAAUUGGUUGAUGGAAAUAGGGAGUUUCUGACAAUUGAUAAAGCAAUAGGUGAAAAUGGAUUCGAGGUUCUGACUCUGCUUCUUUUGAGUGCUUUGUUCCUUUCUCCACCGGGAACUACCUAGAUGGCUUGACUUCAGUCAAGUUCUUGCCUUAUGUAUUGGGCAGGUUAAUUUGCACUUCCUGAAUGCCUCCUUGUUCUGUUAUGGCACUAUCUGAAAAUUUCUAUCCAUAGGGCAUACUACAUUCAGUGGGAAAUUUGUCUGUUCUUGAUGGCUUGCUUAUCCAUACGAAUAUUGGCUCUUGAUGCUUGUGUAGCAUUUUUUAAGUGUUCGUAAAUCAUAUAUAUAUAUACUCCCUCCGUCCCAAAAUUCUUGUCUUAGAUUUGUCUAAAUACGGAUGUAUCUAGUUACGUUUUAGUGUUAGAUACAUCCGUAUCUAGACAAAUCUAAGACAAGGAUUUUGGGACGGAGGGAGUAUAUAUUUAUGUAAAUUGUAUCUUUCUGAAUAUUGUUAAGGAACUGAAUUUUUGGUUCUCCAAUUUAACCCCACUUAGCUUUGUGGUUCACAUAGCAAAUGCUUGAUAGUGAAUGCACAUACUACUAUUUGUUCUUUGCCCUUGUGCAUCGGCCAAUGUCAUAUGUGCCAUCUCGAGACAAAUAUAUGAUAAGUUGACUCAAUUAUAGAUAUCCCUAUUCGUGGCAUCAAUUAUUUAUUUCUAAAGAUUUAUUUCUUAUAGCUGUUAUAUACUACUCCCUCCGUUUCAGUUUACAAGUCCUGUGCGUAUACCUAGGUUGUCAAUUUUAUCACCCUAAUAUAAACUAUAUAGCACAAAAAUUAUACCGUUUGAAAAUAGAACAUAUGAAGUUUAUAUUGGUAUAUUUUUUGUAAUAUUUGACUUGUAUUAGGUUGGUCAAAUUGACGACCUAGGGGUACGCGCACGCCUUAUAAACUGAGAGAGAGGGAGUAUCCUUACCCAUGAAUUAAUAUUUUUUAAUGAUAUUAAGCAUUCUGGGCAGAUCAGUGGCGGAGGCAGGGGGACUAGCAGGGGCCCUGGGCCCCCUAACAUCUGAGCUUUCCUACUAAAUUGCUGAUUAACAGUGUAGAAUCAGUGUUUAUUUGCUGCUUUCCUAUGGUUUGGCCCUCCAUAAGCUAUUUUGACAGCACUUGGCUUCCCUAAUCCAAGUUUCUGGCUCUGCCACUGGGGCAGAUCAGGCUGGUGACGACAACCAUCUGGAUGAGCCGAGGCAUGAUCUUUACUAUGAAGCACAAAGUUUCUCAGACAUUCUUGAUAAUGAGUAGAUAUAUCUAACUAGUGUGAUGGCUACCGUUGACGAAAUACAAGAUGCUUUGGGUUCUGUUGUGGCACAUUCACAUUGAGAUUUUAUUACAAACUGUAGCUUCCAUCAAUGUUCCUGCUUGCUCACUUUGUGAAUGAAGUGAUAUAUCGGGGUCUCAAUUUGCGCCUGCCAUGAUUCUACUCCUCUGUAUGCUUCUAGGAAACAUGUAUUAUAUUGCUGUCCAUUGCGGGUCAUGGAAUCUCAAUUUGCUUUUGGCAUGAACCGACCUUCUAUUAGUUCACAACUUUUGGACAGUGCUAGCUAUUACUUCUAACCACCUCUCAUCUCUGUAAUCAGUCAUCUAGGCUGUAAGACUGUUGCUUCUAUGUUCAUAUAAGCCCUGGCCCAUCUUA